AACGAACGCUGGCGGCAUGCCUAACACAUGCAAGUCGAACGAGACCUUCGGGUCUAGUGUCUCACGGGUGCGUAACGCGUGGGCACCUGCCCUUAGGUUCGGAAUAACUCCCCGCAAGGGGUGCUAAUACCGGAUAAUGUCUUCGGACCAAAGAUUGAUCGCCUUUGGAUGGGCCCGCGUUGGAUUAGCUAGUUGGUAGGGUAAAAGCCUACCAAGGCGACGAGCCAUAGCUGGUCUGAGAGGAUGAUCAGCCACACUGGGACUGAGACACGGCCCAGACUCCGACGGGAGGCAGCAGUGGGGAAUAUUGGACAAUGGGCGAAAGCCUGAUCCAGCAAUGCCGCGUGAGUGAUGAAGGCCUUAGGGUUGUAAAGCUCUUUUACCUGGGAUGAUAAUGACAGUACCGGGAGAAUAAGCUCCGGCUAACUCCGUG
rnacentral:rRNA from 1 species